rnacentral:rRNA from 1 species
UGUCGGGUAAGUUCCGACCUGCAUGAAUGGCGUAACGACUGGAGCACUGUCUCAACCACCGACCCGGUGAAAUUGUAGUCGUGGUGAAGAUGCCACGUACCCGCGGUUAGACGGAAAGACCCCGUGAACCUUUACUGUAGGCUGAUAUUGGGCUGAGGUAAAUCUUGUGUAGGAUAGGUGGGAGGCUUUGAUCUCGCGGCGCCAGCCGUGAAGGAGCCACUGGUGAAAUACCACCCUGAAUAUGCUUUAGUUCUAACACCGAUCCUGUGAAUCCAGGCGGUGGACAGUGUCAGUUGGGCAGUUUGACUGGGGCGGUCUCCUCCCAAAGAGUAACGGAGGAGUGCAAUAGGUACCCUCAGCCUGGUUGGCAAUCAGGCAAAGAGCGUAAAGGUAGAAGGGUGCUUGACUGCGAGACCUAUCAGUCGAGCAGUUACGAAAGUAGGUCUUAGUGAUCCUGUGGUUCCGAAUGGAAGGGCCAUAGCUCAUCAGAUAAAAGGUACUCCGGGGAUAA